rnacentral:ncRNA from 2 species
UAAUCAUCCAGAUGACUUGAGAGACCCGGCUCGUCGAGAGUCAGGCAACCGGUUUGCCAUUCGGCGACCACGGUGCCAACGCCGGGAACGAUGAGGA